UGAAAAUUGAGAAACAUAGAAAUAGAAGGAAAAGAAAGUGAAAAAUCAGAAACCAGGGAUUAGGUUAAAUUCAAAUUACUUCACACUGCAUACACACAUGCUGUAUUUAAAA